rnacentral:rRNA from 1 species
AAGUAAUAAAAGCAGAGACUACAUCUCGUACCUUUUGCAUCAUGAUCUAGCCAGUAACCUCAAGCAAAGAGACCUCUAGUUUGAACCCCCGAAACCGGACGAGCUACUCCGGGGCAGCCUAUUAUAGGGCCAACCCGUCUCUGUGGCAAAAGAGUGGGAAGACCCCCGAGUAGAGGUGAAAGACCUACCGAGUCAGGUUAUAGCUGGUUGCCCAAGAAAUGAAUAGAAGUUCAGCCCCGCCGCGCCCUUACCCACAACAGUUUUACUUAAACAAGGCAUAAAGGACACCCGCGGGAGUUAGUCAAGGGAGGUACAGCUCCCUUAACAAAGGACACAACCUUAAACGGGAGGCUAAGGAAUAUAUUAAACUAAGGCCCUAGGUUUCAGUGGGCCUAAAAGCAGCCACCUGAACAGAAAGCGUUAAAGCUCAGACCAGUCCAAGCCUAUUAUAACAUUAAAAUCUCCAAAGCCCCCAAUAUUACUGGGCCAUCCUAUGCCCCCAUAGGAGGGACCAUGCUAGAACGAGUAAUAAGAAGAAAGACCUUCUCCCAGCACAUGUGUAAGUCGAAUCGGACACCCCAUCGACAAUUAACGAACCCAACAAAAGAGGGUAGUACACCACCGCCACCCCAGGCCAAGAAAACCAUGUAAUAGAACAUCGUUACCCCCACACAGGAGUGCUUAAAUCAAGGGAAAGACUUAAAGGAUAAAAAGGAACUCGGCAAACCAAAACCCCGCCUGUUUACCAAAAACAUCGCCUCCUGCCACCACUAAUUAUAGGAGUC